AAUUGCCAAUUGAGGAAGUAUGGCUGCUAAAACUACCAUCAAAGUUUGCUUUUGGGCUCUCUUCUUGAUCGGUUCGGACCAGACUUUGUCCAAGUUCACCCUUUAGCCCUCUGGCUUGGGGCUUAACCGGGCUAGACCACAUUUUAAGGCUUGGACAUAUUAUUAGCCCGUGGCAUCAAAUGUGGAAUGUGGAAAUGUAAAAG